UUGGGAACCCCUUGUGAUGACAAAGACCGAGAUAUCUUUGUCGGGGCUACCAAGGUCCAAGUUGGGGAUGGCAUGUGUGUCAAGUUUUGGGAGUCUCCUUGGCUUGAUGGGAUUAGGCGCAAGGACAUAGCUCCCAAAAUCUAUGACCUGUCGAAGAAGAAGAAUUGCUCGGUUCGAUUGGCUCUGCACGAUAACUUCUGGACUUCCCAGGUGGACAUUCUUCAGGGUAUCAUUGUUGAACACCUUUCCGAGUUUGUCUCCCUUUGGGAGAGGGUCUCACAUGUCCAUCUUGACGUCAACACGCCCGACACUAUCACUUGGAAGUUCACUACUAACGGCCACUACUCGGCGGUGUCGGCCUAUAAGGCGCAGUUCUAUGGCCAUACUGACACGGUCAUGAUUCCGACCAUUUGGAAGAUUUGGGUGCCUCCUAAAUGCAAGUUCUUCGCAUGGCUGGUGUCGGUGUGA
rnacentral:rRNA from 1 species